AGCAGUCCCUGAAUCCAGAAACCUUGAGGACGUCUGGCCUACCUUUUACGGGCUUGCUCGGCUAAUCUCUCCUGAUGGCUGCAGCCUGCGGAGAACCUGCAGUGCCAUCUGGGAGCGUUGCCAAAAGGAAUGUUCAUGCACGGGGAUGACUGGACGUGAAUAGCCGUGUCUGUGUUGCCCAGCGAGACAAUCAAAUCCACAGUGACAGCAAGUGGGCCAGACAAAAGGCCAGUGUUCUUGCGCAAAUUCAACUACUUUUAGGCUGUCAAAGAGUCAAAAGACAAGAGGGACAGACAAAAAGACAAUAUGAUCUUAUUUUGAAAUUUUAAAGUCUGAACCAGCAGUAAGUUGUCUAAAUAAUGUACAGAAGUUGUUUAAAAAAAAAAAGUAAGCGCAACAAAAGCCACUCGACAGAUGUUUAAACUGACGCCAAAUGCUGUACAGAAGACAUGGUGUGAAAGACAUUUAAUUCACUCACCAUCUGUCAUGUUGCACUCGCAAACAGUUGUGAACGAAUAAAGUAGUUGCAAGGUUAAGGCAGCAUCAAGCAACAAGACAACUCAUUGGAAAGGGGGCUGCUAAAACAUAAAAUUACAAGGAUGACCCUAAACAGAGGCUAUGGAGCCAGGUAGUCAGGGUGGGAGCUGGAAUACACACAACACAUCCUUCACAUGAUCCAGAGGAAGUCAAUCAUUUCUCUGAUUCUGUCAUUAUUUAUUUUUACGGGAGGAUCGCAUGCAUUCUCGGAUUGGACCAAGUAUCGUCCUUGGCCAAGAAGGAAACAUGUUUAAGUUUGAUUUCUUAUGAUUGUUCCUUACUAAAUAAAAACUGAAAAUCACAUCUAUUUUCAAUGUCUGAUGAUCUUCUGAGAUAAAGUCUCAUGAUGUCUUCAAUCGCUCAGACAUGGGGAAAGAACGCAUUGUUUAUGUUUUUAUUUCUGUGGAGACGAGGGCUGCAGCUGGAAUGGUGUCCAUCCCAAAUUAGCAUCCCACUGACAAAAGUAGGUCAAACUGUAGAUGCAUGCAACACACUAACAAAGUCAUCCAGUAGAAAGUUGAUACUUCCUCUCUUUAUUUAUCGGUCAUACGAUGUAUUAGACCGAAUAAUGAUUUUCAAUCACAGACACAUGCUACUUUUAUAACCAGCACGCAUGCCUCGGAUAACUACUUCAAAUCCCUCAAACUCUUCCCAGUCCAAGGGAGGUGCACAUUCCUGAUGAGCUAUCCAACGCUGCCAACAGAA